rnacentral:rRNA from 1 species
AUGGAGAUAGAUCUGACCCGGGACGCCCGCGACGGCGACGCGGAGAGGGUCGCCGCCCCGCAGAGUAACCGUGCCGUCCGAGUGGAGGUCGUCGCCCAGGAGCGCAACGGCGCCGGUGGCAUGGUGGCCGCUGCCGAGGGAAGCGACGGCGCUGCCUUGGAGUCGGUCGGCGUUGGCGCCGAGGAGGGCGUCGCCCCGGAGAAGAACGGCGUCGGCUCCGGUGGCGAGAAGGAGGUCGCCUCGGAGGGGAGCGGCGCCGGCGCCGAGGUGGGCGCUGCCGUGGAGACGAACGGCGUCGCAGUUGACGUCUGGAUCUGCCACCAGCAGCUGCUCCGGCUGCCUCUGGUUACCUCCCUCCCUCCGGACUGUCGAGCAGCAGUUCGUCAACAACCUCCUCUUCACGCAACAGCCCCCCUGCAGCAAGCCAUGUCUGCAGGUCGCUCUCAGCACACGGCUACCUCGAGCAUACGGCGCCGGCAGGAGGCCGAGCGCGCCGUUGCAGAGGAGCGUGACCGAGCAGCUGUAGCAGCAGCUGCUGCGGUAGCAAGGGUGUCGAGGCUGGCUGCAGCGGAGCUGGCAGCAGCCAGAGCGGAGGUAGAAGCAGCCAGGGCGGAGGUAGAAGCAGCAGCAGCAGCAGAAGCAGCACGUGAGGCUACGGCGGAUGCCAAGGCACUCCGAGGCGGCUCCGGUAGCUCCAACAGCUCCGCGGCUGCGGAUGACGGCGCCGACGCAGAUCGCGCCAAAGUGGCGCAAGAGCGGACGGCGCAGUGGGCAGCCGAGCAUGCCUACGCUCCAGGUGCAGGUGUGCACCGCGACGGCGGCUGCAAUGACCAGGACCGCGGCCUCUACGAGGUCCGGAUUGUGGUCAGGGAUGUUGGUCCCAGUGUUGGGUGGCCUACCCUCACUAAAACCAACUACGUCGAGUGGGCCGGGAUCAUGCAGAUCAGGCUCCAGGUGCGGCGCCUACGGGAGGCAGUCCAGGACAGCAACGUCGACCACCUGGAGGAUCGACGGGCGCUGGACGCCCUCAUCGCCGCAGUCCCGCCCGAGAUGCAGUUCUCGCUUUCCAACAAGCGGACUGCCAAGGAGGCUUGGGACGCCAUCGCCGCGGCACGCAUCGGCAACGAUCAUGCUCGCAAGUCCACCCUGCAGGCACUUCGUAAGGAGUGGGAGAGCCUGGGUUUCAAGCCAGAGAAGCUUUUUCGGUGCAUCCCCGAGAAGUACAAGCAGAUGGCUCGGUUGAUCGAGUCUUUGCUGGACCUCUCCACGAUGACGAUCGAGGAGGCGAUAGGUCGCCUCAAGGUCGUCGACACCGACGAGCCACAACCUUCCUUGGGGCCCAUCACCACCGGCGGGAAGCUGCUCCUAACUCGGGAGCCGUGGGAUGCCAGCCUUGGUGACGGGAAGAAGGGGGAGCCUUCUCCCACGACGGGCGGCCGCAAGCGUGGCAAGCAGCGUAAGGCGCGUAGAGGCCCCCCGGGCAGGGCACAAGGACGUGCCGAGGGUGACGCCCGCGAAGGCGCCAAGGACGGCGCCGCUGGCAAGCCCAAGCCGGCACAAGACAACAGUUGCCACAACUGUGGCCGGUACCCUUUGAUUGCGGAUGAGGUGUUGAAGGAGGAAGCCUGGGAAUGCCCCAAGUGCAGGAAUGACUGCAACUGCAGCAAGUGCAAAAAGAGGAGAGGGGAGGAGCCAGCAGGGCCAAUGGUCCAUUCUGUCAAGAGACCGAAGGGCAACCUGCGGAGAAUUGAGAGCACCGAUGCUCUCAAGGAUGAAAUAGUCAUACCCAGAGGUACUCUUGUCAAGAGACCGAAGGGCAACCUGCGGAGAAUUGAGAGCACCGAUGCUCUAGGAUGA